UGACACAGGGAGGUAGUGACAAGAAAUAACAAUACAGGGCUCUUCGAGUCUUGUAAUUGGAAUGAGUACAAUUUACAUCUCUUCACGAGGAUCAAUUGGAGGGCAAGUCUGGUGCCAGCAGCCGCGGUAAUUCCAGCUCCAAUAGCGUAUAUUAAAGUUGUUGCAGUUAGAACGCUCGUAGUCGGAUUUCGGGGCGGGCCGACCGGUCUGCCGAUGGGUACGCACUGGUCGGCGCGUCCUUCCUUCCGGAGACCGUGCCUACUCUUAACUGAGCGGGGGCGGGAGACGGAACGUUUACUUUGAAAAAAUCAGAGUGUUUCAAGCAGGCAGCUCGCUCUUGCAUGGAUUAGCAUGGGAUAAUGAAAUAGGACUUUGGUGCUAUUUUGUUGGUUUCGACC
rnacentral:rRNA from 1 species